GAAAUAGUUAUGAGCGCAGCCUGAUCUAGCCUGCCGCGUGAGCGAUGAAGGCCUUAGGGUUGUAAAGCUCUUUCGUGGGGGAAGAUAAUGACGGUACCCCAAGAAGAAGCCCCGGCUAACUCCGUGCCAGCAGCCGCGGUAAUUGAGCCA
rnacentral:rRNA from 1 species